rnacentral:rRNA from 1 species
CCCUACGGGACGCAGCAGUGGGGAAUAUUGCACAAUGGGGGAAACCCUGAUGCAGCGACGCCGCGUGAAGGAAGAAGUAUUUCGGUAUGUAAACUUCUAUCAGCAGGGAAGAAAAUGACGGUACCUGACUAAGAAGCCCCGGCUAACUACGUGCCAGCAGCCGCGGUAAUACGUAGGGGGCAAGCGUUAUCCGGAUUUACUGGGUGUAAAGGGAGCGUAGGCGGUAAUGCAAGUCAGAAGUGAAAGCCCGGGGCUCAACUCCGGGACUGCUUUUGAAACUGUGCUACUAGAUUGCAGGAGAGGUA